rnacentral:rRNA from 1 species
UCAACUUGAGAGUUUGAUCCUGGCUCAGAACGAACGCUGGCGGCAGGCCUAACACAUGCAAGUCGAGCGCACCUUCGGGUGAGCGGCGGACGGGUUAGUAACGCGUGGGAACAUACCCUUUUCUACGGAAUAGCCUCGGGAAACUGAGAGUAAUACCGUAUAAGCCCUUCGGGGGAAAGAUUUAUCGGGAAAGGAUUGGCCCGCGUUAGAUUAGAUAGUUGGUGGGGUAAUGGCCUACCAAGUCUACGAUCUAUAGCUGGUUUUAGAGGAUGAUCAGCAACACUGGGACUGAGACACGGCCCAGACUCCUACGGGAGGCAGC